rnacentral:rRNA from 1 species
GAUGAACGCUGGCGGCGUGCCUAACACAUGCAAGUCGAACGGGGUUAAGGGAAAUUUUCGGAUGGAACUUAACUUAGUGGCGGACGGGUGAGUAACGCGUGAGGAACCUGCCUUUCAGAGGGGGACAACAGCUGGAAACGGCUGCUAAUACCGCAUGACACAUUCGGGCGGCAUCGCCUGGAUGUCAAAGAUUUAUCGCUGAAAGAUGGCCUCGCGUCUGAUUAGAUAGUAGGCGGGGUAACGGCCCACCUAGUCGACGAUCAGUAGCCGGACUGAGAGGUUGACCGGCCACAUUGGGACUGAGAUACGGCCCAGACUCC